rnacentral:rRNA from 1 species
CUACGGGAGGCAGCAGUGGGGAAUCUUGGACAAUGGGGGCAACCCUGAUCCAGCCAUGCCGCGUGAGUGAUGAAGGCCUUAGGGUCGUAAAGUUCUUUCGCCUGUGAUGAUAAUGACAGUAGCAGGUAAAGAAACCCCGGCUAACUCCGUGCCAGCAGCCGCGGUAAUACGGAGGGGGUUAGCGUUGUUCGGAAUUACUGGGCGUAAAGCGCGCGUAGGCGGACUGGAAAGUUGGGGGUGAAAUCCCGGGGCUCAACCCCGGAACUGCCUCCAAAACUAUCAGUCUAGAGUUCGAGAGAGGUGAGUGAAAUUCCGAGUGUAGAGGUGAAAUUCGUAGAUAUUCGGAGGAACACCAGUGGCGAAGGCGGCUCACUGGCUCGAUACUGACGCUGAGGUGCGAAAGUGUGGGGAGCAAACAGGAUUAGAUACCCUGGUAGUCCACACCGUAAACGAUGAAUGCCAGUCGUCGGGUAGCAUGCUAUUCGGUGACACACCUAACGGAUUAAGCAUUCCGCCUGGGGAGUACGGUCGCAAGAUUAAUACUCAAAGGAAUUGACGG